rnacentral:ncRNA from 1 species
CAAUGGAAGGAUCUCGUAAAUUUACCCUAAUUUUCUCAGUUCAUGAUAUCGACGCUCCUCUGAAAUCGAAGAUUUUAUAAAGACAGGGAGGAGAAUUUUGGGGGAGAUUCCAUGAUAACUCGACGGAUCGCAUGGCCUUUGUACUGGUGACGCAUCAUUCAAAUUUAUGUCUUAUCAACUUUCGAUGGUAGGAUAGUGGCCUACCAUGGUGGUAAUGGGUGACGGAGAAUUAGGGUUCGAUUCCGGAGAGGGAGCCUGAGAAAUGGCUACCACAUCCAAGGAAGGCAGCAAGAGCGCAAAUUACCCAAUCUUGACACGGGGAGGUAGUGACAAUAAAUAACAAUACUGGACUCUUUCGAGUCAGGUAAUUGGAAUGAGUACAAUCUAAAUCCCUUAACGAGGAUCCAUUGGAGGGCAAGUAUGGUGCCAGCAGUCGCGGUAAUUCCAACUCCAAUAGCGUAUAUUUAAAUUGUUGUAGUGAAAAAGCUCGUAGUUGAACCUUUGGAUGGGUCGGCCGGUCUGCCUCGCGGUGUGAACCGGUCGGCUUGCCCCUUCGGUCUGCGAUACGCUCCUGGCCUUAACUUGCCGGAUCGUGCCUUUGGCGCUGUUACCAUGAAGAAAUUAAAGUGCUCAAAGCAAGCCUACGCUCUGUAUACAUUAGCAUGGGAUAACAUCAUCAGAUUUCGAUCCUAUUGUGUUGGCCUUCGUGAUCGGAGUAAUGAUUAACAUGGAUAGUCAGGGGCAUUCAUAUUUCAUAGUCAGAGGUGAAAUUCUUGGAUUUAUAAAAGACGAACAACUGCGAAAGCAUUUCCCAAGGUGGUAUAUCAUGGUUUUUACCAUCUUUUGGCCAUGAUUUAAU